CCUCCGCGGCAGCAGCUAUUGCUGCUGCUGCUGCAGCAGCUAUUUCUGCUGCUGCUGCUGCAGCUAUUGCUGCUGCAGCAGCAGCUAUUCCUGUUGCUGUUGCAACUAUUGCUGCUGCUGCUGCUGUUGCAGCAGCGGCUAUUGCUGCUGCUGCUGCUGUUGCAGCAGCGGCUAUUGCUGCUGCUGCUGCUGUUGCAGCAGCAGCUGUUGCUGCUGCUGCUGCUGCAGCAGUAGUUUUAUCUGCCUGGGGCGAUGCAGCAGCAGCACCCUUUA
rnacentral:sRNA from 1 species